rnacentral:rRNA from 1 species
GACGAACGCUGGCGGCGUGCUUAACACAUGCAAGUCGAACGGAAAGGCCCUGCUUUUGUGGGGUGCUCGAGUGGCGAACGGGUGAGUAACACGUGAGUAACCUGCCCUUGACUUUGGGAUAACUUCAGGAAACUGGGGCUAAUACCGGAUAGGAGCUCCUGCUGCAUGGUGGGGGUUGGAAAGUUUCGGCGGUUGGGGAUGGACUCGCGGCUUAUCAGCUUGUUGGUGGGGUAGUGGCUUACCAAGGCUUUGACGGGUAGCCGGCCUGAGAGGGUGACCGGCCACAUUGGGACUGAGAUACGGCCCAGACUCCUACGGGAGGCAGCAGUGGGGUAUAUUGCACAAUGGGCGGAAGCCUGAUGCAGCAACGCCGCGUGCGGGAUGACGGCCUUCGGGUUGUAAACCGCUUUCGCCGGUGACGAAGCGUGAGUGACGGUAAUGGGUAAAGAAGCACCGGCUAACUACGUG